rnacentral:rRNA from 1 species
GGACCAAGGAGUCUAGCAUGUACGCGAGUCAUUGGGUCAGAUACAAUCUAAACCUAAAGGCGAAAUGAAAGUAAAAGUUUAUAAUUUUUACAUAAACUAAGGGAAGAUGGGCUUCCCAAUUGUCGGUGAAGCCUCGCACUCCCGGACCGUCCCAUACACUCAUUGCGAGUUGGGGCGGAUCUAGAGCGUACACGCUGGGACCC